rnacentral:tRNA from 1 species
ACUAUUUUGGCAGACAAGUGUAAUGGUUUUAGAAAUCAUAAAUAUAUAAAUUAUAUUAUAUAGGUAGUA